rnacentral:lncRNA from 1 species
AAUCUGGGGCAGAGUUAGGUAUGAAUAUGAAACCAAUGAAGCUAAAUUGUCUGUUGUUUCUUGUACUGACUCUUUUCAGAAGAAAUAUAGAUUUUUAUGAAGUUUUUGAUAAUUAUUGAUUUUGCCACCAUUUUGGUUGCUAAGCGUAUCUAGGAAAAACGUCA